rnacentral:rRNA from 1 species
ACUGGGCGUAAAGGGUGCGUAGGCUGGCUUUUAAGUCAGAUGUGAAAUCCAAUGGCUUAACCAUUGAACUGCAUUUGAAACUGAGAGCCUAGAGUUCAGAAGGGGCAGAUGGAAUUAGUGGUGUAGGGGUAAAAUCCGUAGAUAUCACUAGGAAUAUCAAAAGCGAAGGCGAUCUGCUGGGAUGAUACUGACGCUGAGGCACGAAAGCGUGGGGAGCAAACAGGAUUAGAUACCCUGGUAGUCCACGCCCUAAACGAUGAAUGCUAGUCGUCGGGGAGCUCGUCUCUUCGGUGAUGCACUUAACAGAUUAAGCAUUCCGCCUGGGGAGUACGGUCGCAAGAUUAAAACUCAAAGGAAUAGACGGGGACCCGCACAAGUGGUGGAGCAUGUGGUUUAAUUCGAAGAUACACGAAGAACCUUACCUGGCCUUGACAUGGUAGGAACCCUUAAGAGAUUAGGGGGUGCUAGCUUGCUAGAACCUACACACAGGUGCUGCACGGCUGUCGUCAGCUCGUGUCGUGAGAUGUUGGGUUAAGUCCCGCAACGAGCGCAACCCUCGUCAUUAGUUGCUAACAGUUAGGCUGAGCACUCUAAUGAGACUGCCUUCGUAAGGAGGAGGAAGGUGAGGACGACGUCAAGUCAUCAUGGCCCUUACGGCCAGGGCUACACACGUGCUACAAUGGGGCGUACAGAGAGCUGCAAUACCGCGAGGUGGAGCCAAUCUCUUAAAGCGUCUCUCAGUUCGGAUUGUUCUCUGCAACUCGAGAACAUGAAGCUGGAAUCACUAGUAAUCGUAGAUCAGCUAUGCUACGGUGAAUACGUUCCCGGGUCUUGUACUCACCGCCCGUCACACCAUGGGAGUUGAUUUCACCCGAAAUCGGGAUGCCAAACUGGCUACCGCUUACGGUGGAAUUAGCGACUGGGGUGAAGUCGUAACAAGGUAACC